UAGGAAUAUGCCUUAAAGUGGGGGACAACUUGGGGAAACUCAAGCUAAUACCGCAUAAUCUCUGAGGAGAGAAGCUGGGGACCUUCGGGCCUGGCGCUUUAAGAUUAGCCUGCGUCCGAUUAGCUAGUUGGUAGGGUAAAGGCCUACCAAGGCGACAAUCGGUAGCUGGUCUGAGAGGAUGGCCAGCCACACUGGGACUGAGACACGGCCCAGACUCCUACGGGAGGCAG
rnacentral:rRNA from 1 species